rnacentral:lncRNA from 1 species
UCAUACCAAAAAGGCAAUCUUAGGCUCAUCAAGGAAAGUCGAGCUUCCAAGUAACUUACUGGAUAUUAGAUCAUUUGUUUUAUUUCCCUAUGUUAUUAACAUUUUUUAGUGCUGAAUAUUUAUUUUUAUUGGAUGUGAGAUUUGAGUUUGUUGCUUUAUAUAAUUAUUUAGCAAUUUAAUUAUUUCUUCGCACCUUUUGUUUAUGAAGCUUUAAUUUUCUUUUUCAGUCAUACUAUUCUUUUUGUACUAUCUGUUUUUUUUUUUUUUUUUUUUUUUUUUAUAUUUAGCUUGGCAUUGUAGUCGAGAUGUGGAUGUGAGUUUUUUUUGCUGAAAAGAAACCCAUUGUGAUUUGAGUUUUUUUUUUUUUUGACAGACAAGACACCCAAUAUGAUUAAUUUCAGUAUCUUUUUUUUUUUUUUUCCAUGUUAGGCAGAUUGUUGAUGUUGAAAUUUUUGUGACUCAUUUGAAAGGCAUUAGGUAGAAUUUCUUAAUUGUAAUGAUAUUAUGAGCUCUGACAUUGAGUUCAUCUUCAUCGGAGUUGUUGUAUUAUAUUGAAGUUUGAUAUAAUAUUUAGGCGUGUAAUUACCAAAUUGUAAGGGGUUUUUUGCAGUUGGUGUACGUAACUUAAAAU